rnacentral:tRNA from 2 species
GCGGGAGUAGCUCAGCUGGUAGAGCGCUAGCUUCCCAAGCUAACGGUCGCGGGUCCGAAUCCCGUCUCCCGCU